UGCCAUUAUGAUGACACUUAUUUGCUACUCUUGAAUAGGAUGAUGAGAAUACUUCACCACCUUUGUUAAAAACUGAGGCA